CUCUGGGACAAGCCCUGGAAACGGGGUCUAAUACCGGAUACGAGCCUCCWMGGCAUCUUGGAGGUUGGAAAGCUCCGGCGGUGAAGGAUGAGCCCGCGGCCUAUCAGCUUGUUGGUGAGGUAAUGGCUCACCAAGGCGACGACGGGUAGCCGGCCUG
rnacentral:rRNA from 1 species